CUAAUGCCUAAUACCAACAAGAACAGAAAAAUCAAAUGUGCUUGAGCUUAAUUAAAUGCAAUGAGUUUAAUAAUUCUGUAUUCUGAUAAUAUACAUAUUUUUGCAGUGUAAUGCAACACAUUUUAUGUAGGUACUGGGAAAAAAGCAUAAUUUCAGUAUUUGAAGUUGCUUUCAAAGUCAACAUAAAAUGUUGUUUGCAAUCAAUUUUACUUGCUUUUAUCCACUAGUAGCCAUAAAAGGAAAGGAAAAAUGUAUCAAGAACUACAAGAAGUUGAGGUUAAGCUAAUGAUUAUUUCAGACAGCGAGUUAUAAAGUAGUUGUUGAAUUACUCUUUGUUCCUUGCGCAGCUGUUCCAUUGCCAGCUGAAACUCUCUUUCUUUUGCCCAGGCCUCUGCGAUGGUCGCUUGGUUUUGCUCUUCAUAUGCCAUGGCCACGACAGCCAGGAUCAAGUUCACCAGAUCUGUUCCAGUUCAGCAUCAGUUAACUGGUUAAAUCUGUGCAUUAGUCUCAGGAUUGAGGUUGCCAUGAGGAUGGAGGUGCUCAGGUCUCUAUAGUAACUGUGUCCUGGAGGUGAAUGAAGCGAUGGUAAUAAAAGUGUCUCUCAGGAUCUGCCUACUCACAUAAAGAGAGAGAGAGAAAAGAGCAGUGCAAAUCCACUAUGUUCUGUUGUCGUGAAAACAGCCAUUAACAAACCUACAAAAGGGCUUAGGAGGGAUCAGAUGUGAAUGUAGAGGGGAAAUCCACUCUGGGUUGUGUGCCUUGAGCCGAGGAGAGGACUGAUGGGAACUGAAAGUGUUAAACCCUGAUCACAGACAGAUACACAGAUCAUUGUUUCUUCUUACUGGGUUUGAAUUGUUUCAACACAGAACUGACUGCCACAGGACCAGACACCUGCGUGCAUCAUGACUGCAGACGUUCAAAACAUCUGUGCAUGUGGUGCGCUGUAAUGUGCAGCUGUCACAUGAUGCCAAAUCACUUUCAUUUGGGGAAUUAGAAGAGGAAUAUCAGCGGAUUUGGUUGGCAAUGCCAGAGAAGAACAUUACAGCGCUGUUUCAGAAAUGAGACCAAAUCCAAUAGAAUUCUGAUGAUAAGCAUUUUAGAUUUGCCUCAAAGUGUGAGCAGCUGGAUAUCAUUGUGCUGUUGGGCCAGAUUUUUGGAUUUUGAUGCCUAAAUGAUUAGUUUAGGAGGCCUUAUGUGAAAAAUCAAACCGCUUUUUGCUACAUUUUCUGAUAAUAUAUGUGGUGUUUGCCCAUACAGAAGCCACCAUAAUGAUACUACAACUACUGUAAUGUUGUGGAUGGUUGCUAGUGCAUUGCAUUUGGUACACCCUCAGAAAAAAAGCUACAAAAGCUGUCAUUUGUACCUUUUCAAAAGGUACAAAUACAUAUCCUUGAGGUUCUAAAAAAAGAUACCGCCCUAGUGACAGCUUUUG